rnacentral:lncRNA from 1 species
AUGCACCCAUGGUGUGGUCCAGUCUGGAGCAGAACCUCUAGAAGCGGGAAGCCCAUCACGCAUGAGUUGUACCCGCUUGGGUUUCUUCGCCUGGAACAGAACAGAGUCCACACCAUGGGGAGGGCUUCCCCUGGACAGAAAAGCAGACCCUUCCUGCCCUUCCUUGUGGGGAGUCCCCUGGCUGCUCCCCAGAAGCAGAGAGAGCCCCUGCUUCUGGAAAGCCCCUCUGAGGCUUCUGUGCUUCUAUGCUGGUGGUGACCUCCGUGGUCAGCAGCCUCUCUGAACAGGUUGGCCGCAUGGCACUAGCCUGCUGUGGGAGCACUGAGGACUCAGUCCUCCUCCUGAGUGUGGUUGGGGGCUACCCAAGAUGCCUGUGGUCCAGGUCCUGUCAUUCCCACUGUCAGAGCAGGCCGGCACCGGCUGCUGGCCUCCUUGGUCAGGGCCCACGCCAGUCAGACUCUGACUCUGCAAUCUCUAAGUGCUCUGGGCUCCUUUGAAAGGGAGAACAUUAUAUUCGAUAUUAUUAUACAGUAAUGAGAAAGUGUUCUUGUGUUCUGCAGCUUUCUGGCUGAGUACUUUGUGCCCCAUGAGGAAAUAGGCUCUUAUUU